rnacentral:miRNA from 1 species
GCCUGCUCAAACUAGUUCUCGU